GGAUGGUUAGCUCAGUCAGUUUAGCGUAGUGCUAACAACGCUAAGGUUGCGGGUUUGAUUCCCGUUCGGUCCC
rfam:Apaloderma vittatum contig60636, whole genome shotgun sequence.